AGAGUUUGAUCCUGGCUCAGGAUGAACGCUGGCGGCGUGCUUAACACAUGCAAGUCGAACGAUCCUUCGGGAUAGUGGCGGACGGGUGAGUAACGCGUGGGAAUCUGCCCUCAGGAGGGGGAUAACGGCUGGAAACGGCCGCUAAUACCCCAUAUGCCGAGAGGUGAAAUGAAUUUCGCCUGAGGAUGAGCCCGCGUCUGAUUAGCUAGUUGGUGGGGUAAAGGCCUACCAAGGCAACGAUCAGUAGCUGGUCUGAGAGGAUGAUCAGCCACACUGGGACUGAGACACGGCCCAGACUCCUACGGGAGGCAGCAGUGGGGAAUUUUCCGCAAUGGGCGAAAGCCUGACGGAGCAACGCCGCGUGAGGGAUGAAGGCCUCUGGGCUGUAAACCUCUUUUCUCAAGGAAGAAGACCUGACGGUACUUGAGGAAUAAGCCACGGCUAAUUCCGUGCCAGCAGCCGCGGUAAUACGGGAGUGGCAAGCGUUAUCCGGAAUUAUUGGGCGUAAAGCGUCCGCAGGCGGCCUUGUAAGUCUGUUGUUAAAGCGUGGAGCUCAACUCCAUUUAAGCAAUGGAAACUACAAGGCUGAAGUGUGGUAGGGGCAGAGGGAAUUCCCGGUGUAGCGGUGAAAUGCGUAGAUAUCGGGAAGAACACCAGUGGCGAAGGCGCUCUGCUGGACCAUAACUGACGCUCAUGGACGAAAGCCAGGGAGCGAAAGGGAUUAGAUACCCCUGUAGUCCUGGCCGUAAACGAUGAACACUAGGUGUCGGGGGAAUCGACCCCCUCGGUGUCGUAGCCAACGCGUUAAGUGUUCCGCCUGGGGAGUACGCACGCAAGUGUGAAACUCAAAGGAAUUGACGGGGGCCCGCACAAGCGGUGGAGUAUGUGGUUUAAUUCGAUGCAACGCGAAGAACCUUACCAGGGUUUGACAUCCUGCGAACCCCUGAGAAAUCGGGGGGUGCCUUCGGGAGCGCAGAGACAGGUGGUGCAUGGCUGUCGUCAGCUCGUGUCGUGAGAUGUUGGGUUAAGUCCCGCAACGAGCGCAACCCACGUCUUUAGUUGCCAGCAUUCAGUUGGGCACUCUAGAGAGACCGCCGGUGAUAAACCGGAGGAAGGUGUGGAUGACGUCAAGUCAUCAUGCCCCUUACAUCCUGGGCUACACACGUACUACAAUGCUACGGACAAAGGGCAGCAAGCUCGCGAGAGUUAGCAAAUCCCAUAAACCGUGGCUCAGUUCAGAUCGUAGGCUGCAACUCGCCUACGUGAAGGAGGAAUCGCUAGUAAUCGCAGGUCAGCAUACUGCGGUGAAUACGUUCCCGGGCCUUGUACACACCGCCCGUCACACCAUGGAAGUUGGCCAUGCCCGAAGUCGUUACUCCAACCC
rnacentral:rRNA from 1 species